AAAUGGCGAAAAUGAAACGAGAACACGAUCUGUUGGUGCAGGAAAGAUCCAUGGUGGCGGCGAAAGAUGCGGCGGUUAUCACUUUUUUGCAGAAGAUCACGGAACAAAACCCGAGUACUGUCAUCCCACAAAUGCCAGCUAUGCAAUUACUCCAACAACAACAACAACAAAACCAACCGCCUCCGCCGCUUCCACCACCAUCGUCAGUACAACCGCCGCCACCAAUGCAACAGCAACAUCAACAACAAUCCCAGCCACCACCACCACCACCACCGCAAGUACUACAACAACAACAACAACCAAUUUCUCCGUUAUCAGGUGCAGUCACCGCGUUUUUUCUUUACAAAUCUAUAACAAUUUUCGUCUCCUCUCCAAAAAAUUUUACGACUUUGCCACUAUGCAGCAGCUGUACCAUUACCGGCACCGGUAUCUUUAUCAACACCCGCUCCGCCACCGCCUGUGGUGAGGAAUCUCGAUAACGGCGGCGGAGGAGAGAACAUGCUACAACCAAGUCCGUCGAGAUGGCCGAAAGCUGAAAUUAAUGCACUGAUUAAACUCCGAACGACGCUUGACACGAAAUAUCAAGAAAGUGGGCCCAAAGGGCCAUUAUGGGAGGAGAUAUCGUCGGCGAUGAAGAAGCUUGGAUACAACCGGAAUGCUAAACGAUGCAAAGAGAAAUGGGAGAACAUUAAUAAAUACUACAAGAAGGUUAAAGAAAGCAGCAAGAAACGACCCGAGGAUUCGAAAACUUGCCCGUAUUUCCACCAGCUCGACGCCAUUUACAGAGAGAAAGCAACCAGCAGUAACAACAAUAAUAAUAAUAAUAGUAAUCCAGCGUUCGCCGUUAAACCGGAAAACCAGAUGGCUCCGAUCAUGGCUAGACCGGAACAGCAAUGGCCACUUCCGGCGGUGGUUCAAGAACAACACCACCACCUCCAACAACAACAUCACCACCACCAACAGCAGCAGCAGCAACAACAACAACAACGACAUAAUCAGCAGAUGAAGACGAAUGAAUCUACAGGGAUUGAAGAUCACCAGCAUGCGGAUGAUGACGACGAUUACGACGAAGAAGAUGAAG
rnacentral:lncRNA from 1 species